rnacentral:rRNA from 1 species
UAAUACAUGCAAGUCGAGCGAACUGAUUAGAAGCUUGCUUCUAUGACGUUAGCGGCGGACGGGAGAGUAACACGUGGGCAACCUGCCUGUAAGACUGGGAUAACUUCGGGAAACCGAAGCUAAUACCGGAUAGGAUCUUCUCCUUCAUGGGAGAUGAUUGAAAGAUGGUUUCGGCUAUCACUUACAGAUGGGCCCGCGGUGCAUUAGCUAGUUGGUGAGGUAACGGCUCACCAAGGCAACGAUGCAUAGCCGACCUGAGAGGGUGAUCGGCCACACUGGGACUGAGACACGGCCCAGACUCCUACGGGAGGCAGCAGUAGGGAAUCUUCCGCAAUGGACGAAAGUCUGACGGAGCAACGCCGCGUGAGUGAUGAAGGCUUUCGGGUCGUAAAACUCUGUUGUUAGGGAAGAACAAGUACGAGAGUAACUGCUCGUACCUUGACGGUACCUAACCAGAAAGCCACGGCUAACUACGUGCCAGCAGCCGCGGUAAUAC